AUUGAACGCUGGCGGCAGGCCUAACACAUGCAAGUCGAACGAGUGGCGGACGGGUGAGUAAUGUAUGGGAAACUGCCCGAUGGAGGGGGAUAACUAAUGGAAACGGUAGCUAAUACCGCAUACCAUCAGAUGUGCCCAGAUGGGAUUAGCUAGGUGGUGGGGGAACGGCUCACUAUGGCGACGAUCCCUAGCUGGUCUGAGAGGAUGACCAGCCAGACUGGGACUGAAACACGGUCCCGACGCCUACGGGAGGCAGCAGUGGGGAAUAUUGGACAAUGGACGCAAGCCUGAUGCAGCCAUGCCGCGGGUAUGAGGAAGGCAUUCGGGUUGUAAAGUACUUUCAGCAGGGAGGCGUUACCCGCGGAAGAAGCACCGGCUAACUACGUGCCAGCAGCCGCGGUAAUUC
rnacentral:rRNA from 1 species